rnacentral:rRNA from 1 species
GUAGGGUGCGAGCGUUAAUCGGAAUUACUGGGCGUAAAGCGUGCGCAGGCGGUUUGUAAGACAGGCGUGAAAUCCCCGGGCUCAACCUGGGAACUGCGCUUGUGACUGCAAGGCUAGAGUACGGCAGAGGGGGGUGGAAUUCCACGUGUAGCAGUGAAAUGCGUAGAGAUGUGGAGGAACACCAAUGGCGAAGGCAGCCCCCUGGGUCGAUACUGACGCUCAUGCACGAAAGCGUGGGUAGCAAACAGGAUUAGAUACCCUGGUAGUCCACGCCCUAAACGAUGUCAACUAGGUGUUGGGUGGGUAAAACCAUUUAGUACCGGAGCUAACGCGUGAAGUUGACCGCCUGGGGAGUACGGCCGCAAGGUUA